AGCUACUCGGAACUGCAGUCGAAUGGAACUAAGAAGUUAAGCGUGCUGGGGUUGGAGCAAUCUAGGAUGGGUGACCGACCGGGUUGCCAAAUUAAGCGUGCUUAGUACCAGCGUGCUAGUCUCUAAUUAAGGUGGUGUAGAAUUGAAUAAUUCGGACAAAAUGAAAAAGAUUGAAAUAAAAAACAGAAAAUAAAAAAAAAAUAACUGGGAUAAA
rnacentral:lncRNA from 1 species